CAAAGAACAGAAUAGCCCCAAACAUUACAUUGCUGUAGUGUUUCCAUCCCUCCCUCCUCCUCAAACCAAAAAAAAGAGAGAGGGAGAGGCAGUACCUUCAGGAGUGUACCAGACCUGUGAGGGAUACUUUUCCAAAAAUGGAUUUUUUUUAAAAAGCAGCUGAUUGUGGCAUUCUGCCUCUUUAAAUGUACAGACUUCGGGUGCAUGAUUUCCUCCACAACAGUAACACUUCAACUUCUGGAUUACUGCGAACAAGGUUACAGGGGAUAUGUCGCAGAGUCCGCAGCUCAGCCUCCAGCAC